GUACUUGUCCCGGUGCUUGGAUUGCAGCACGUGGGCCAGCUCGCGCAGGUGGCCCCGGUGCCGCUGUUCAUCGGGCCGCGCGGGGAAGGCGGCGGCCAAGAUGCGCUCCGUCACGUAGGAUGAGCAAUACCCACAGCACUACAUUCAAGGUCAUCUCCUGGGGGCCCUCUCUGGAGCCACCAGACCUCUGGACACCAUGGCCAGGUUCCUUGCCCUCCCCACCCCAUCCCAGAGCGCACUCACCAACUCCGCGGGAGGCAAGGCCUGACAGGCUGAAGUCACCUGGAAGGGGACCGAUGCCUGGUACUGGAAGGAACUUUAUGGAAUGGAGCUAAUGGGCCCUAGGGCAGGUUCCAGUUGUGCCACCCUGGAGGGGAAGGUGAAGGGUAGGGAUAAGGGGGUGGAGCACCUGAUUCCAAUCUUGCAGCAGGGAAGAAGAGUCUGUGAAGCAGUGCGUGAUGACGGUGUGUCCCCCCCACCCAGAAAUUGGCAUUUGGGAGGGGUGGAUAUGGUUGGGACUGGGAAGCCUUGAUCUUACUGCUCUUGGUUGAGUUGGUGUUCAGUAGACAGUUUCAGAGGUUAGAGCAGUGGGAGUCACUGGGCACUGGGGACAGGAGAGGAGGGGGUGGGGGGAGCCAGGCAGGAACGAGUAGGGAGGCACUGGGAAGAGGGGAGAGGCAAGAGUUAGGGGAAUACCGAGGAGAGUGGCAGGGAUUGGAGGCUUCUGGAGAAAGGGCAGGGCUGAAGGUUGUCCCAUGUAUUUUGGCCAGAUUUGAUUACGUAAUCGAGAUACACGAGAUAAUUAAAUGUGUU